rnacentral:lncRNA from 1 species
UGGUCAUAGACUUAUAGACUCGGCCUCUUAGGUCAUAUAGGACUACUCUUCAACUACUAAGACAGAUAGAUCUCCUAUAAAUGCACUCCUCUUCUUACAAUAAAUCUACUGCAGCCAACAUCUACUAUAAAAAUUUAUAUGGCUAGGGACUAUAUUUAUAUGUAGUCAAACUAUAGCAACUCCAUUAUGAGCAGCAGAGGCAUCGCAGGUCAAAGAACCACUCACACAACUCAGCAUCGAGAAGUCACUGAUGAGUGAGUAGGCAUCCAUAUAAUUUUUUGUUCUUGAUCAAGCUUAGUACCGUUGUUCUCUAACAACCAUCUAUACUCUCACUUCAGUGUCUCCAUACUGUAGACUCAUGACCCAUUUGUCCAAAAAGAAAGCGAUCUGUGCAUCAAUCUACUUGGAUCAAUCACCAUCCUGUGACUAUCAUCGAUUGAGAAUAUUUAAAAAUUAAUAUAUAAUGACACUUGUCUUAAAUUCUCAACUCAUGAGAAUAUGUGUCAUUGACCAUUAACUCCAUAGAUAAUUCUUAGACACAUUACUCUAGAAUGAAAAUAAUUAUCCAUAAUUUUAAUUUUAAUAAAUCAAGUACAAACUUAUGUCCUGAAAAAUUAUAAUGUAUCAGUCAACAAUUAGCCUUCCAGAUCACACAUCUAACAUAUAUAUCUAUACUUUCAAUAUUUGAAUUACAUCCAUAUCUGUUUAAAAUAAAUAUGAAUAUUAAUUUUUAUAUCUGAAUAAUAUCCAUAUCUGUAUUUGUAUUCAUCAGAAAAAAUAAAUAUGGAUAUGGAUAUGCUGGUAUCAGAUCCAUAUCCGAUUUGGUAUCAACACUAAAUUCAAUACACUUAAUAAAUUUCUUUUUUUAAUAGAGAAGAAUGUUUUGUAUAUCAUAUAUAAAAUAUUAAUCUUUAUUAUUUGAAUUGGCCUUAAUAUUUAUCUUGAUAGCAAUUUGACCAUCUAAAUAAUAUUAUUUUGUUUUGGUUGGAAGGAAACAAUGAAAAUGAAAAAUAAAUUUAGAAAUAAAAAUUUAUAAAAAACUUGCCAAGAUGAGUUUUCUAAUUAUUUCUAUCCAAAAAUUUAUAUAUGGUUAAUAAUUAAUAUUGCGCUCAUAUGGUUCUAGUGCUAUAGAGUCUACAAAGUUUAUUUAUUGGUCUCCUUCAAUUUUCUGUAUACAUGCACUUAUAAAAUGAGCUUUUGCCUUCCCACAUUUUUUAAACUACAAUUUUUAAAGCCAGUCCCAAACAUCCUUAAAUUUUUCAAAAUACUAUGUGGACAAAAAAGAUUAUUGUACCAUCUAUUAUAUAUCCUCUGUUUCUCUAAUGUUCCAUUUGUUUAUGUUUUCUAGAUGUUCCUACUUUUUCCAGAUGUUUCUACUUUUUCUCCAUAUCAAAUGAAGCACCUGAUCUCUCAAAACAUAUUUA